rnacentral:rRNA from 1 species
UACGUAGGGUGCAAGCGUUGUCCGGAAUUAUUGGGCGUAAAGAGCUCGUAGGUGGCGUGUCGCGUCUGCCGUGAAAGCCCAUGGCUUAACUGUGGGUCUGCGGUGGAUACGGGCAGGCUGGAGGCUGGUAGGGGCAAGCGGAAUUCCUGGUGUAGCGGUGAAAUGCGCAGAUAUCAGGAGGAACACCGGUGGCGAAGGCGGCUUGCUGGGCCAGUUCUGACGCUGAGGAGCGAAAGCGUGGGGGGCGAACAGG